GACAGGUGGUGCAUGGGUUGUCGUCAGCUGUGUCGUGAGAUGUUGGGUUAAGUCCCGCAACGAGCGCAACCCUUAUUAUCAAGUUGCCAGCAUUCAGUUGGGCACUCUCGGUGAGACCGCCGGUGACAAACCGGAGGAAGGUGGGGAUGACGUCAAAUCAUCAUGCCCCUUAUGACCUGGGCUACACACGUGCUACAAUGGACGGUACAACGAGUUGCGAAGUCGUGAGGCUAAGCUAAUCUCUUAAAGCCGUUCUCAGUUCGGAUUGUAGGCUGCAACUCGCCUACAUGAAGUUGGAAUCGCUAGUAAUCGCGGAUCAGCAUGC
rnacentral:rRNA from 2 species